GACGAACGCUGGCGGCGUGCUUAACACAUGCAAGUCGAACGAAGAGCGAUGGAAGCUUGCUUCUAUCAAUCUUAGUGGCGAACGGGUGAGUAACGCGUAAUCAACCUGCCCUUCAGAGGGGGACAACAGUUGGAAACGACUGCUAAUACCGCAUACGAUCUAACCUCGGCAUCGAGGAUAGAUGAAAGGUGGCCUCUACAUGUAAGCUAUCACUGAAGGAGGGGAUUGCGUCUGAUUAGCUAGUUGGAGGGGUAACGGCCCACCAAGGCGAUGAUCAGUAGCCGGUCUGAGAGGAUGAACGGCCACAUUGGGACUGAGACACGGCCCAGACUCCUACGGGAGGCAGCAGUGGGGAAUCUUCCGCAAUGGACGAAAGUCUGACGGAGCAACGCCGCGUGAGUGAUGACGGCCUUCGGGUUGUAAAGCUCUGUUAAUCGGGACGAAAGGCCUUCUUGCGAAUAGUGAGAAGGAUUGACGGUACCGGAAAAGAAAGCCACGGCUAACUACGU
rnacentral:rRNA from 1 species